ACGGAAGGCAGCAGUGGGGAAUAUUGCACAAUGGGGGAAACCCUGGUGCAGCGACGCCGCGUGAGUGAUGAAGUAUUUCGGUAUGUAAAGCUCUAUCAGCAGGGAAGAUAAUGACGGUACCUGACUAAGAAGCACCGGCUAAAUACGUGCCAGCAGCCACGGUAAUACGUAUGGUGCAAGCGUUAUCCGGAUUUACUGGGUGUAAAGGGAGCGUAGACGGCAAGGCAAGCCAGAUGUGAAAGGCUGGGGCUCAACCCCGGGACUGCAUUUGGAACUGUCUAGCUAGAGUAUCGGAGAGGUAAGUGGAAUUCCUAGUGUAGCGGUGAAAUGCGUAGAUAUUAGGAGGAACACCAGUGGCGAAGGCGGCUUACUGGACGAUAACUGACGUUGAGGCUCGAAAGCGUGGGGAGCAAACAGGAUUAGAUACCCUGGUA
rnacentral:rRNA from 1 species